rnacentral:rRNA from 1 species
GUGGCAGACGGGUGAGUAAUGCAUAGGAAUCUGCCCAGUAGUAUGGGAUAGCCACUAGAAAUGGUGGGUAAUACUGUAUACGCCCUGCGGGGGAAAGAUUUAUCGCUACUGGAUGAGCCUAUGUUAGAUUAGCUAGUUGGUAGGGUAAAGGCCUACCAAGGCAGUGAUCUAUAGCUGGUCUGAGAGGAUGAUCAGCCACACUGGAACUGAGAUACGGUCCAGACUCCUACGGGAGGCAGCAGUGGGGAAUAUUGGACAAUGGGCGCAAGCCUGAUCCAGCUAUGCCGCGUGAGUGAGGAAGGCCUUAGGGUUGUAAAACUCUUUCAGCGGGGAAGAUAAUGACGGUACCCGCAGAAGAAGUCCCGGCAAACUCCGUGCCAGCAGCCGCGGUAAUACGGAGGGGGCAAGCGUUGUUCGGAAUUAUUGGGCGUAAAGGGCAUGUAGGCGGUUUGGUGAGUUAAAGGUG